rnacentral:rRNA from 1 species
AGAGUUUGAUCCUAGCUCAGAGUGAACGCUAGCGGUGCGCCUAACACAUGCAAGUCGAGCGUGAUUAUAAGUUAGCUUGCUAAUUUAUAUAAAAGCGGCGAACGGGUGAGUAACACGUUGUUAUCUGCCCCCAAGUCAGGGAUAGCCCAUCGAAAGAUGGAUUAAUACCGGAUGUGUACUAAGGUAUAAAGGUCUAUCGUAAGAUAGAAUGCUUGGGGAGGAGACUGCGGUCUAUCAGCUUGUUGGUAAGGUAAUUGCUUACCAAGGCUAUGACGGAUAGCUGGUUUGAGAGGAUGAUCAGCCACAAUGGGACUGAGACACGGCCCAUACUCCUACGGGAGGCAGCAGUGAGGAAUCUUCCGCAAUGGACGAAAGUCUGACGGAGCGACACCGCGUGAAGGAUGACGGUCUAACGAUUGUAAACUUCUUUUAUGAGGGAACAUAAUGAGGGUACCUCAUGAAUAAGGGACGGCUAACUACGUGCCAGCAGCCGCGGUAAUACGUAGGUCCCAAGCGUUACUCGGAAUUAUUGGGUGUAAAGGGUUCGUAGGCGGGUUUAUAAGUUGUGCAUGAAAGACCGAAGCUCAACUUCGAGUUAGUGUACAAAACUAUAAAUCUAGAAUCAGGGAGAGGUAAGCGGAACUCUAAGUGUAGGGGUGCAAUCUGUAGAUACUUAGAAGAACACCAAAAGCGAAGGCAGCUUACUGGAACUGUAUUGACGCUGAGGAACGAAAGCGUGGGGAGCGAAAAGGAUUAGAUACCCUUGUAGUCCACGCCCUAAACGAUGAUAACUAGGUAUUGGCCUUUAUGGUCAGUGCUGUAGCUAACGCGUUAAGUUAUCCACCUGAGGAGUACGAUCGCAAGAUUAAAACUCAAAGGAAUAGACGGGGACCCACACAAGCAGUGGAUCAUGUUGUUUAAUUCGACAAUAAACGGGGAAUCUUACCUAGACUUGACAUCCUAAGAAUUUUCUAGAAAUAGAGAAGUGCCCGUAAGGGAGCUUGGUGACAGGUGCUGCAUGGUUGUCGUCAGCUCGUGCCUUGAGGUGUUCGGUUAAGUCCGUUAACGAGCGCAACCCAUAUUGUUAGUUACAAUGUCUAACGAUACUGCCUUGGUUAACAAGGAGAAAGGUGUGGACGACGUCAAAUCUGCAUGGCUCUUACGUCUAGGGCUACAAACAUGAUACAAUGGCUAGUACAAAGAGUGGCAAUAUCGCAAGAUGGAGCAAAUCUCAAAAAGCUAGUCUCAGUCCGGAUUGAGGUCUGAAACUCGACCUCAUGAAGUUGGAAUUGCUAGUAAUCGUGAAUCAGAUAUGUCACGGUGAAUAUGUUCCUGGGUCUUGUACUCACCGCCCGUCAUGGCAUGGAAGGUGGUAAUAUCGGAAGCUCCUCUAGUAAUAAGGGGAACCAUGGUAGGACCACUGACUGGGCUAAAGUCGUAACAAGGUA